rnacentral:rRNA from 1 species
GUAUAGGCGAUAGAAAUUUCUACCCUGGUGCAAUAGACACAGUACCGUAAGGGAAGGAUGAAAGAACUGUAUCGAGGACUAAAAAGCAAAGACAAGCCCUUAUACCUUCUGCAUAAUGCAUUAACUAGAAAUAACCUUACAUAGAGAACUAUGGCCAAGUCUCCCGAAACCAGACGAGCUACCCAAGAAUAGCUGAAAGAGCACACUCGCCUAUGUGGCAAAACAGUGGGAAGAUUCAUGAGUAGCGGUGACACGCCUACCGAGCCUGGUGAUAGCUGGCUGGCUUAGUUCAACUUUCAACUUACCCACAGAAUUACUUAAACUCCCUUUAAGUUUAACUGUUAGUCUAGAGAGACAGACAGCUCUUUAGACCCUUCCUACAGAGAGUAAAAAACAUUACCACCACAGUUGGCCCAAAAGCAGCCACUAAUUAAGAAAGCAUUUAAGCUCAAUAUCUAACUAUCUUAAAUUCUAACCAGUCUACUGAACUCCUAACAUCACAUUGGACUAAUCUAUUACUUAAUAGAAGCAGUAAUGUUAAUAUAACUAAGAUGAAGACAUUCUCCAUUGCAUAAGCUUACAUCAGACGGGAGUAACCCACUGACAGUUAACAUCCCAAUAUUAAUAAAUGAUAUAAUAAAUACCGUAUUAUUUGCACUGUUAACCCAACACAGGCAUGCUCUAAGGAAACAUUACAAAAAAUAAAAGGAACUCAGCAAAUCUUACCCCGCCUGUUUACCAAAAACAUCACCUCUAGCAUUACCAGUAUUAGAGGCACUAUCUGCCCAGUGACAUAUAUUCAACGGCUGUGGUAUCCUGACCGUGCGAAGGUAGCAUAAUCACUUGUUCUCUAAAUAGGGACUUGAAUGAAUGGCCACACGAGGGUUCAGCUGUCUCUUACUUUCAACCAGUGAAAUUGAUCUAUCCGUGAAGAGGCGGAUAUAAACAAAUAAGACGAGAAAACCUUAUGGAGCUUUAAUUCAUCAAUGCAAAUAAAAACUCCAACAAGCCUACAGGCCCUAGCCUCCUAUCCCUGCAUUAAAAAUUUUGGUUGGGGUGACCUCGGAGCAUAAUUCAACCUCCUAACAACCUAAGACCACACUAGUCUAAGUGAGUUAUUACACAUUGACCCAAUAAUUUGAUAAACGGAGUAAGUUACCCUAGGGAUAACAGCGCAAUCCUAUACUAGAGUCCAUAUCGACAACAGAGUUUACGACCUCGAUGUUGGCUCAGGACAUCCUAAUGGUGUAGCUGCUAUUAAGGGUUUGUUUGUUCAAUGAUUAAAGUCCUAUGUGAUCUGAGUUCAGACCAGAGUAAUCCAGGUCGGUUUCUACCUACUUAACAUUCCUCCUAGUACGA